rnacentral:lncRNA from 1 species
AGUUGCUUGGACCUUUAAGGGCUUACUACCAAUCACACUGCCCAUUUGGAAGAAAGAUAGGGCAAGAUAGAGUGUAGCUAGAGCUAUAAUCAAAGUAUUUCUCUACUACUCCUAUUGCUUGUAAUGUAGAGUCCAAGUGGUAAACUAAGAGCGAGAAUUCUAAAGAUAGAGGUAAAUGUAAGGAAAUUAAAGAUAAACUUAUUUCAUCAAUCGGCCGAAAAGUCCUUUGUUUAAGUUACAUCCACUUAUUUAUACUAGAACAUAAGCUAAAUUGUAUGGUAACAGCCCACUUUCAGCAACAAUAGCCCACAUCCGACCUCGACUCCUGCUAGUACUAGUAAUUGAUGCGAAUUGUCCUCCACCACCCAUUUCUGUCAUGAUGGCUAUAUUCUGUGUUGUCUAUCAGAUUGACAGCCACAUUCAAUCGGUCUCUAAUCUCACAAUUGGUCUUUAUU